GUGUCACAGGGCUGUUUGAGGGACCUGGUGAGCGCCUCAGCACUAUCAGCACAGGGAUCUCCGUGGUGUCUGAAUCAGCUCUGCACUGCCCGAUGGGGGCAGUGACAGACAGUGAUCCAUACCCACCCCUGCGUCUGCCCACCCAGGAGCAUUCACGUUACUCUUCCAGGAAUCCUGGAAAUCCUGCUCUCCCAAUCUCGCCAGUCUUCUGCUGGGAAGAAACUUUAGAAGAACUCCAACCAAACACCGUGGAGCCAAGGACGUGGGCGCCCUGGGACUUUCUUGAAGAGGUUCUGGGCCCUGGGACUUUCUCAAAGAGGUUCAGAGGGGCCGGGGGUCAAGGACUUGAUUUUCCCCCAGAAGGACCUUGGGAAAGUAUGGGACUCCUCAGCCACCCGCAACUGGGAACCAGAAAUCCUUCCCCCUGCCUUGGGGCCAAAUGCAGAAGCUGCUGCAAGCUGUGGAGGGCUGCUGAACGCCGGAGCCUUACAACUGUUAAACUCAGGCAGAGCUCGGGAAAUGCUGCCCGGAUGGGUGACUGAUGGAGAGGGGCUACCACUCUUCCAGCUAAACUCCGCUCUGGUUGGGACCCAGCAAUUAUUUUCCAUAGCGAAGUGUUAAUAAAAUAUCUGUUACUCCCAACACAACCUCCUGGGGGAAGGGACCUGUCUGUCUGCUUCAACUUUGGAUCCUCAGUGCCCACAUCAGGAUACCUGGCCUGAGAGAGGGUCCUGCCGGUAUUACCCUGGAGGAAGGAAUGCUGCACAGAGGCCGAGAGGAAUUUGAACAGACUGGCCUUGCUGGGUUUUUAUCUCUUUUUGUCCAAUCCCAUUUUGACACAGUUGUCCAUGCUCCAAUCAUGCUUAUCCAAUGAAGUUUCCAUAACAGGCCUGAGAGGACAGGGUUCAGGAGCUUCCGGACAGCUGAGCAGGUGGAGGUUCCUGGAGGGUGGUGUGCCAGGGAGGGUGUGGAAGCUCUGCCCCUUCCCCCAUACCUUGUCCUAUGCAUUCCUUUAUCUGCAUCCUUCAUUUUAUUUUAUUUUUUUUUGAGACGGAGUCUUGCUCUUGUCGUCCAGGCUGGAAUGCAGUGGUGCGCGAUCUUGGCGCACUGCAACCUCCGCCUCCCGAGUUCAAGAGAUUCUCUUGCCUGAGCCUCCCGAGUAGCUGGGAUUACAGGCACCCGCCACCAUCCCUGGCUAAUUUUUGUAUUUUUAGUAGAGAUGGGGUUUCACCAUGUUGGCCAGGUUAGUCUUGAACUCCUGACCUCAGGUGAUCCACCCACCUCAGCCUCCCAAAGUGCUGAGAUUACAGGCGUGAGCCACAGUGCCCGGCCUGUAUCCUUUAUAAUAUCUUUUAUAAACAACCAAUCAGUAAAUGUGUUACUCUGACUUCUGUGAGCUGCUCUAGCAAAUUAAUCAAAUCCACAGAAGGGUCAUGGGAACCCCAACUUGAAGCCUGUCCGUCAGAAGUUCCAGAGUCCUGGACUUGUGACUGGUGUCUGAAGUGGGCAAGUCUUGGGGACUGAGCCCCUAGCCUGUGGGAUCUGAUGCUAUCUCCACAUAGAUAGCAAUGGAAUUGAAUUGGCGGGCACCUGGCUGGUGUCUGCUGCAGAGCUCAUUGUUUGCUUAGUGGUGGAGAGAAGUCUCCCUCCACAUGUGGUCACAGCAUCUUCUGUCUGUGUUGAUUGCUUUUGAUGUUGAUCGAGAGAACAGGAAAAAGCACAUUGAAUGUCUCAAUGAUGAAGAUGACAAUAAUCUGGCUUCUAGGUUGUUAUGCGGCAGGCAACAGCUGUGCAGAUCCUAAUAAUCUACUCUGGGUGACAGUUUAACACAGGGGUUGGCAAAUGUGGCCCACUUCCUAUUUUUAUAAAUAAAGUUUUAUUGAAACAUG
rnacentral:lncRNA from 1 species